CCCGGGGCGCGGAGGAGGUCGCAGCUGCCCACGGGCAAGCGCUCCCCGGGCAAGCGCUCUCCGCGCAGCCCCUCUCCGCGCAGCCCCCGCGGGGGCGCCGGGAGGUGCCUCCCCGGGGCCGCCAACAAUAACAGGGAAGUUGUAAAGCGAACAAAAUCAAAGAGCCCGGCUCUCCCGGGUUGACUUAGUGCCUUCGAUUCCUCCAUGAGCGGAGCGUGUAAUUACUUUUAUUAAUUUCUUUUCUUUCCUACUCCAAGAGAUCGUUCUCUUUUUCAAUAUAGAAGAUUAUGAUUCUUUCCCCAUGGAAAGGCAUUAUCAGAACUGGUGGGAAUAUUUUUCUUUCUGUGUUUUGGAGAAUGCAAACCAAUAUUUUGCUUUUCCAUUAAUGUCUAGUUAGUCUGCUAGGUGGGUUUAUUAUUCGUCCUAUUUUAACAUGCACUGCUGCUGUUGGACAAAAGACGGCCCCGCUUCACAGUCAGAGCUUGGUGAAAUGGUUUCAGCAAUUAAGGAUGGGCAUGUGUAAAGGCCAAAAACACCACCAUGUUGCAGAGCCUUCUGGAAACCCAAAGCUGCUUGGCUGUGUAGUCCAACUAUGUAUACAGACCAGAGAGGGGACUUUAUCUCUUGACUUAGAGACUGUGGACCACCUAUGGAGCAGGUCUGUCAUCUCCAUUUGUGAAUAGAAGCUACUCCUGCCUGUUGCACUGAAAUGCUGCAAAGAUAAAUAAACUCAUUAAGGUCCUGAGAUGCUCAGAGUGCCUGCUAAUAAGGCCCAUGGAGACAGAGAGGAAAAUCGCUAGCUCCACACCAGACCUUGCUGACCCAUGAACAUUGGUGAUGCUCCUGGUUGCUAGACAGCCAGCCUGCUGAGCUGGAGGUCCUUAAACUCCCCUGGGCAACUUCAGAGGUCUCAGAGACAAAGUCAGCUGGAGGAGCAAAGAAACUGAGAAACUUGAGAUGUGUCUCCUAUGACCCAAUGAAGCUUAGAAAAGUGCCUCGCUAAAUUGCUUUUUACCUUUAUUCUUUUAUAUCCUUUUAUCUGCCUGUCAGGGCAUUGUCUCUGUCCCUGAGGAAGCGAAGAACAGUGAGAACUGAACAAAAUCAAAGUGGUUGAUGAUCAUCUCAUUGAACUGCUCAGAGACUGCAGUCAGUGGCUGCAGUAAAGCUGGCUGGUGGGGAUGGAGCUAUGGAGACUUCUGACUAAGACAAGCAGUUAUCUAGAAGCUGGAUUAUCUGAUAAAUGAUCAAGGGUAAAAUUUACCCCUAACUGUGCCAGCCCCGUUUUGGACCAGAAUUCUUUGAUAUCAAAAUAGGCAUCACAGACUAUCCAUAAAUAUUUUGGAACCAGCAAAUUUAGGAGGCUGCUGUGAUAUAAAUAAAAGAAAUUUUGAGGGUCCUGAAGCAAGAGAGAUUAGCAGAACUCCUACUGACUUCAGCAGGAACAAGUUUGUGCCUUGAGUUAUUUGGCUCAUAACUCUUCAGCAAGAUUGAAAGAAGAAGGGUCUGGGAUUUUUUUGAUCUAAGAUUUUAUUAAUGUCCAACCAGGAUGCUGUUUAAUCUUUAAAACAAAUACCAGCACUCACAACACAUCAAUUGUUUGGAUUCUGAGCUCUGUGUUACACUUAUUCUUGGGCAGCCAAAUUACAAUGAGAAUAAUCGUCAGAAUACUAAUGUGAUGUAAACUAAUGUAGAGAUAUUUAUUCAAUGGAAUGCAAUUACCAGCAAUACUCUAUUUUCUGAACAGUGUGACUGUAAUCCAAUUUAGGUUGUUUAACCCCUGGUGAUUUGUUUCCGUUUGUAUUGUGAUAGGCUGAAAACAGGCAGGAUUGCUGGGGGCAGCAAAAGGGAGAGUAAGGGGAAAUAGCACCACAUGUAAUCUGAGAUCUUAAUGACUUUACUAAAUCUACAUAACCACAGGGCUGUUCAUCAUGGUUGUGCUGCUAAUUGAAUUUUAAGAUAAGGGUAGAUCCUGCACUCACUUUCUCCCAACAUAAUUUCAUUUUCUGAUGAAUGCUUAGUCACCAGUUCAAAAAAAUAUUUCAUGCUCUAACCCAAAGUUAUAUUAGGGCCUUGGAUUUCAUACAAGACAGGAUUCUUAGGUACAUGGUGGCAAGUGACAAUAAGAAUGUAGAAGGUGACUUUCAUGACCAGCUCCUCUUGCAGAAGUGUUCUUGGCUGGAGGAGUUGCAGCAGGAUCCCAUGGGUAGAGGACACCUUCUCUUCUGCAGAGGGAGCAGGAUCAUGGGAAGGACAGAGCGUGGGGACCUUGCUGCAGGCAAUUUCUAAAGAGUAAAAAGCUUCAGCUAGAUACUGGUACAUUCAUUAGUGUGGAGGAGUCCCCCUGAAACUAGCACAGUUUCUGUGCUUCUGAAAGUAGCACAGGGUAUGUUGUCAGCAUGCACAGAAGUCUUGAGAUCUGGUCCUUAAAUAAAAGAAGUGCUAGAAAAAUCUAGUUUUAAGUGCGGGGAGGUGUUUUGUAAGAACACAAAAAUAAGUGGGCAAGGCCUCAGUGUCCAUCUUGUGCAGAGUUUGCUCAUGGUGAUGACAGUUCUGACACCGACUGGGUGCAAGCAUGUGCAGUCUGGACCCUGAAGGGUGGAGCUGGACCCAGUAAGGGGAACUGGGGGUCUGGAAUAUUCUUCCUUUCCCCAAACACCAGAAAGAAGUGUUGAGGAAUGAGGAUAACCAUUACUGGCAGGAGGAUGGGCCUAAUUUCCAGAAAGCUACACACAGCUCUAAUGGCUCUUCAGGUUGGAAGAGCCUAGGGAACAGCUAUUCAAACCUUUAAUUUGUACCACAUCAUCCCCCCACCAACACCUACAGUGAAAUUAGGUCCGAGCACAUCAUGACCUGGCUGUUCCGAUGCUGGGAUAACAGGACUAAUAGUUUGGAAUUAGAAAGUAGGGAAGUCAAGCAGCUGUGAUCAAUUUCUAGGAAAGGGGUAUUGACAAGACAAUUGGAAGAGGCACACAAGUCCUCAGCCUCUGGAGUUGACUCCUGUCAAGCAUGAAGAAAAGGUGUCCCUCCAAGGAAGGUGUUGCCCAGGCAAGUGGACUGCAGUACAGAAAGGUAUCCGGUACCUGAGGAAUUAACAGGGCUAGAGAUGAUUUAUUAUGACCUGAACAACACAUAGUUACCCACAGAUCUAGACAAAGUCCAGUGCAUACAACCCAUGUGGCAGAAAUUUAUUCAGAGUGCACCAUUGUAUGCCAAUUCAUUGGCAGUAAUGAGCUGGAGAGAUGGAGCAGCCCUGACAGUGGAUGAAGUGGCUCACCAGCUCCGGGAAUAUGAAGACAAUCUCUCUUCCUCCUUUGUCUUGGCUAUGGAGAAACCGGUCUAGUGAUUUGAUGAGGAUAGUUCUUACUCCCCACCUGUAUGGACCCAUAUCUCAGCUAUUAAGACUAAGCAUCCUUUUGGUCAAGAGGGAGGGUAUGGAAGGUAUGCACCACAGGAUACCCUAUGGUUUUACCUGUGGGAACAGGGGCAUGAAGAAGAGGGAUGGAAAACCCACCUUGACCCUAGACGCACAGGUAUGUGAAUUGCAAGGAAAAACAGUCACAAAUGGGGGUUCUUCCAGGAAGGUUGCUGCUCCAGUCUCCAGAGGGCAGUUUCCCAGACAGAGUGGAAGGGCUGAUCUUGCUUCUGAUCCUAUGAAAAAGAAUUCUAAUCCAUUUUCACAAGACGUAAGUUGAGAACGUAUGACCAGGGCUAGAGGAACCCUGCCUCCAGCCAGGUGGAGAAGAGGGACAAUUGGAUUUACUGGACCAUGUGGAUUUGAUGGCCUGGCAUGUCAGACCCACAGGAGUGUAAGGCUCUGGUAGAUACCAGUGCACAGUGUACCCUAAUGCCAUCAAGCUAUACAAGGGCAGAACCCAUUUGUAUUGCUGGAGUGACAGGGGGAUCCAACAGCUAACUGUUGGAGACUUAUUUUAGCCUGGCUGGGAAAGAGUGGCAAAACCACCCUGUUGUGACUCGCCCAGAGGCUCCAUGCAGCCUUGGUAUAGACUAUUUCGGGAGAGGGUGUUUCAAGGACCCAAAAGGGUACUGGUGGGCUUUCAGUAUAGCUGCCUUGGAGAUGGAGGAAAUUAAGCAGCCGUCUACCUUGCCUGGUCUCUCGAAGGACCGUUCUGUUAUGGGGUUGCUGAAGGUCGAAGAACAACAGGUGCUGAUCGCUACCACAGUGGUGGACUGGUGGCAAUAUUGCACCAACUGAGACUGCCUGAUUCCCACCCAUAAGCUGAUUUGUCAACUAGAGAGCCAAGGAGUGAUCAGCAGAACCUGAUCACCCUUUAAUAGCCCCAUAAGGCCAGUGUGAAUGUCUAAUGGAGAGUGGAAGCUAACAGUAGAUCAUUGUGGCCUGAACGUCAUGUCACUGCUGAGUGAUGCUGUAUUGGACAUCCUAGAACUUCAAUAUGAACUGGAGUCAAAGGCAGCCAAGUGAUAUGCCACCAUUGAUAUUGUUAAUGAGUUUUUCUCAAUUCCUUUGGAAGCAGAGUGCAGGCUACAGUUUGCUUUCAUUUGGAGAGGCAUCCAAAACACCUGGAAUCGACUGCCCCAGGACUGGAAACACAGCCCUACCAUCUGCUGUGGACCGAUCCAGGCUGCACUGAAGCAGGGUGAAGCUCCAGGACAGCUGCAAUACAUUGAUGGUAUCAUUGUGUGGCAUAAUACAGAAGAAGAUUUUGAGAAAGGGAAGAAAAUAGUCUGAAUCCUUCCGAAAGCUGGUUUUGACAUAAAACAAAGUAAGGUCAGGGGACCUGCACAGGAAACCCAGUUUUUGGGGAUAGAAUGGCAAGAGGGACAUCAUCAGAUCCCAAUGGAUGUGAUCAACAAGAUACCAGUUGUGUCUCCACCAACUACUAAGGAAGUAACACAAGCUUUCUUAGGCAUUUUGUGGUUAUGGACAGUGCACAUUCCAAAUUACAGUCUGAUUGUAAGCCCUCUCUACAAAGUGACCUGGAAGAAGAAUGAUUUCAAAUGGGGCCCUGAGCAGUGACAAGCCUUUGAACAGAUUAAACGGGACUUAUUUCAAGCGGUAGCCCUUGGGCCAGUCCAAACAGGGCAAGAUGUAAAAAAUGUGCUGUACACUGCAGCUGGGGAGAUUGGCCCUACCUGGAACCUAUGCAGAAAGCACCAGGGGAGACUCAAGCUCAAACCCUAGGCUUUUGGAGUUGGAGAUACAGAGGAUCUGAGGCACUCUAUACUCCAGCUGAAAAAGAGAUACUGGCAGCUUAUGAAGGGGUUUGAACUGCUUCAGAAGUUAUUGGUACUGAAGUGAAGCUCCUCCUGGCACCCUGACUGCUCGCGCUGAGAUGGAUGUUCAAAGGGAGGGUCUCCUCUACAUGUCAUGCAACUGAUGCUAUGUCAAGUAAGUGGGUCAUACUGAUCACACAGUGAGCUCGAAUACGAAACCCUAGUCAUCCAGGAAUACUGGAAGUGAUCAUGGAUUGGCCAGAAACUGCUGGUCACAGUUGGUCAACAGAAUGUUUGCAGAAACUGCUGAAGGAGAAGGUGAUUUGAGUCAGUUUACAGAGGUGAAAGCUGUCCCACGGGUUUUAGACAUUGCUGAAUGAGAAAAAUGGCUAAUACUUCACCUCUAUACUGACUCAUGGAUGGUGGAAAAUGCCUUGUGGUUGCAGCCACAGAAGCAGAGCAACUGGCAGCACAAAGGUAAACCCAUCUGGACAGCCACAUUGUGGCAAGAUAUUGCUGCCCAGGUGGAGGGCCUUGUUGUGAAGGUAUGUCGUGUAGAUGCUCACGUAUCCAAGAGUCAAGACAUGAAAGAACAUCAAAACAACUGUUGGGUGGAUCAGACUGCUGAGACUGAAAUGGCUUAGAUGGAUCUGGAUUGGCAACAUAUGAAUGAAUUAUUUAUAGCUCGGUGAGGCCUAUGGCACCUCAGGCUAUCAAGGAAGAGAUGCGAUGUAUACAUGGCCUCGUGAUCUAGGGGUGGACUUGACCAUGGACCCUAUUGCACAGGAUAUCCAUGAAUGUGAAACAUGCUGCAAUUAAGCAAGCCAAGUGGUUAAAGCCUCACUGGUAUGGAGGACAAUGGCUAAAAUAUAAAUAUGAAGUGGCCUGGCAGACUGACUAUAUUGCACUCCACAGACAAGGCAAGCGCCAUGUGCUAACGAUGGUGGAAGCAACCACUGAAUGGCUAGAAACGGCCUGUGCCUCAUGCCAUUGCCUGGAACAUGAUCCUGAGCCUUGAAAAGCAAGUCUUGUGGUGACCUGGCACCCCAAAAAGAUUUGCGUCAGAUAAUGGGACUCAUUUCUGAAACAACCUCAUAGACACCAGGUAUAAAGACCAUGGCAUAGAGUGGGUAUAUCACAUUCCGUAUCAUGCACCAGCCUCUGGAAAGAUCAAAUGAUACAAUGGACUGUUAAAGAAUACACUGAAAGCAAUGGGUGGUGGGACCUUCAAACAUUGGGAUAUAGAUUUAGCAAAAGCCACCUGGUUAGUCAACACUAAGGAAACUGCCAGUCAGGCUGGGUCUGCCCAAUCAGAAGUUUUAUGUACUGUGGAAGGGGAUAAAGUUCCUGCUGUGCACAUAAAAAAUACGGUGGGGAAAACAGUGUGGGUUGUUCCUGCCUCAGGCAAAGGUAAACACAUCCAUGGGAUUGAUUUUGCUCAAGGACCUGGGUGUACUUGGUGGAUAAUGCAGGAGGAUGGGAAAGUCUGGUAUGUGCAUCAAGGGGAUUUGAUUUUCAGUGAGAAUAGCCAAUGAAUUAAAUUGUGUGAUGCUGAUUGCUACAUAACACUGUAUGUUGUCACCUGUGUAGCGGCUAUGUGCCCAUCACUGCAUUGGGCAUCUUGCAGCACCUGUCUCCACCACUCCAGAUAUGGGGAUCUAAACCCUACUCCCUUCAGACUGCCACAUUAAUGAAGAAUUAACUUUGAUGAAACUGGACAAGCAUAGUGGUAAUGGAAUCAAAACUGGCUUCAGUAUGCAACAAUCCAACACCACACACCAUCUUUCCUGCUCUGAAAGACUGUUAUGAAAGAUGGAGCCCAAAGUCAUGAACUAAAUGAAGUCAGUGAUCAUUUCAUAACAUUGGCCCACAGACUAAGGGAAUGAUAUCUGUGUGUAUAUAUCAAAAAAACAGAAAGGUGAUUGGGAAGUGUAGGACCUGGGCAUGAUAUAAAUGGUAUAGAAUAAGGGGUGGAUACCAUCCUGAUUUCGGCUGGAACAGAGUUGAUUUUCUUCCUAGUAGCUGGUACAGUGCUGUGUUUUAGAUUUAGGAUGAAAAUAAUGUUGAUAACACACCAAUGUAUUCAGUUGUUGUAAGUAGUGUUAGUAGUAAGUCAAGGACUUUUCAGCUCCUCAGGCCCUGCCAGCAAGACGGCUAGAAGGGCACAAGAUGUUGGGAGGUGACACAGCCAGGACAGCUGACCCACCCUGGCCAAAAGGAUAUUCCAUACCGUGAUGUCAUGCUGAGUAUAUAAACUGGGGGGAGUUAGUCAGGACAGUUGGGAUCAGAUUGCUGCUCAGGGACCGGCUGGGGACUGGUCAGUGGGUGGUGAGCAGUUACAUUGUGCAUCACUUGUUUUUUGUUGGGUUUUUGGUUUUUUUUUUUGUUGAGUUUUAUUUCUCUUUCUCUUUUUGUCAUCUUCAUUUCCAUUACAGUUAUUAGUAGUAGUAUUAGAUUUAUGUUUUACUUUAUUUCAGUUUUUAAACUGUUCUUACCUCAACCCACAGUUUUACCUUUUUCUUCCCCAAUUCUCCUCCCAUCCCAUCGAGUGAACUGCUGUGUGGUACUUAGUUACUGGCUGCAGUUAAACCAUGAUGCUUACAAAACCCAAGAAGGCCAGAGAUGCAAGGUUUCAUCACCGUGCAUGCCCUAGCAUUCCUUCAAACAAGCAUUGGAUACAGCAGAAAGUCCAAGAAAAGGCUUACUCCCUUGGAGGAUCAAGAAGAAAGCAACAGUAAAGAAAGGACCAAUAGCAGCAUGGAGAAUACAGAAAGCAGAUAAAGAGGAAAAUUAGGAGGUGGAGGUGAGCAGAAGGCAGCUCAGAAAAUUGCACAAGCUGUGGGGAGUUUUUUCGUCUAGAGACUUGCACGCAACAAAGGGAGUGACUGCCAUCUGCAUCUGCUCCAAAAAAAAAAGGAAGGGAGAAAAGGGACAGAGCUGAGACCAAAAAAGAAAUCCACCUGCGUGCCUCUCCUUUUGGCUGUGGAAUGGCUGAUCCAUGCUGAAUGCCUGCUGUGGGAGGGGAGAGAAAGCUAAUGGAGGUAUUGCUGUGUCUAAGGAGGCACAACAUCAGGGAGCGUGUGAAUCCUCAUGCAUGGCUCUGUCCUACUGACACAGUGGGAAGAGGAGGGAGGGAACUAUUUUAGUCCUGUUGAGGCUGCUAAAGAGUAAAAAUGGAAGUAAUUAAAGGCCUAUUCCAGUCUCACUUAAAUCUCUGAGUCUUCAGGCCAAGAGUUAUUUUUGUUACAUUGCUUUAAUGGUGUUGCAUUGAUGUUUAGACUGGGUUGUAUUUUAUUAUUUUUUUUUAACCUACAUUUAGGAAAUGAGCCAGCACUUUCUGUGCAAUGCAUUCACUUUGAUGAAAUUUUUUUGCCUGCAGAAGGUUGUUUAGGUCCCAGCAGAAAUUUUGCUAAAUCCCAAGCAGCCCCAGCACAGCGAGUGUUUGGGCAGCUGGGUUGCUGCCUCAUGCUGUGGAAAGGGCAGGCUUGAGUCCCAGCAUUAGCUGGUCCAAAGCCAGACUGGAAAUAAAACCCACUCCUGUACCUCAGGUAAAGUGAUUGCUUGGUAAAUAAUGACCGUAAAGCCUUAUUGUCCCCUAUAUUUUCACUGAAAAAAACCCCAACAAACAUAACUUCAGUGGUUAAGAACAAGAACAAAAUCCAGAGCAAGAGCAGGAAAUGUUUGCUGUAACAGCACCACUGUUUGCUGCCCAUCUCUUCCUUGGUGAAGGCUGCUGUGGCUGUAAGCAGUGACAGGAACUGCCUUCUCUUGCUGCCACGUUCAUCCCCAAUGAAACUCAUCUCAUCUCAGCAUCACUUCUAAUCUUUCUGCUCUCAGAUCCCCCUGUGCAGUUUAUGUGGUGUCAUGGGAGGUCUGAUCGCAAGUCCCCUGAGCUUCUGAAUGUGUCUGCAUCUCCUUGGUUGGCACCUGUCCAGUGUGUGGGACUUAGCCCACAUCUGCAUCCUCACAUGGCCUCCUGACAGUGCAGGGUGUCAUCAGGAAGAGAUUGGGCUCUUCUCCAGCACAGAUAUCUAUCCUGUGCAGGCUGCCUGGAUCUCAACACAGAUCCUGCAGAGGAGUCAAUAUAAAGAGCAAAGAACCUGAUUCCUGGUUUUCCAGAAAAAGCAGAAUCAAAGGUCCCUUGCCUCCCUUGCAAGUGGGGGUGAGCAUCACGUCCCUGCAGAAACUGGCAGCCUACCAAAAACUUCUCAAUCCCUCACUCUGGAAUAGCCGUUGAGGAUCAUUCCUCUGCAGACCAGUUACCCCAAGGAGGGAAAAGAUGCAUUUAACCAGUCCUACUGCUCCUGUUCUUGCAAGGGACACUGAAAAUGCCCGUGGCAGCUGUGUCCUGGUAAGGGUACCAUAUGGUCAUUUAGCAAUGGGGAAAAAGCAUCUCUCUGUCUUCCCAGAAACAAGCAAUAAAGAUUGGAAAAGACUGAGCCAUUGGAGCAGUGGCUCAGAUCAACAGAGAAAGAAAUGUUUGGACACAGUGAGGCAUGAGAGGGAGGAUAAUUUUCUGGUGUGUAGGGGAGGAAAUCCGGUUAGGUACUUUGAACCCCAACUUACACAUUUUCAUCUGUAAGUGGUAUUAACUGGUUAUAUUCAUGUGCAGUGACUGAGUGCUACAGAUGUAUUUUAGACCUUAGAUCAUCAUCAUUAUUCCACCCUCAAUUUUCUUACAGUUUCUGUCUCAGUUCCUGAAAGCUGUUUUUCCAACUGGAUGUGGAAAACUGUUGAACUCCUCUGGCUCUGAGCAGAGCAAGAGAAUUACAGACAAUGUGUCUUAUGGGCAAUUCACCUCUUGAUUCAUCCUGAUGGGAGGGUGGAUUAUGUUACAUCUCAACAUCCCUUCUGAGCCUAUUUUCUACAGUUUAUACGGUUCCUGUAACCCCUCCAGGGAUACCAAUCACUAUCACGUAAACUCAUCAGAGUUAGUUUCUUGCUAUUGCCACUCUGCGUGUCUCAUGCUUCCAUAGGCAUGUCAGAAAUAAAUGGCCUUGCUCUUUUGCUACAGCUGUAGUCUACAAACCCCAUUCUAAUUCAUCUUCAUAAGCACCUGGCUUGCAAACAAUACCACCAAAUUCCCAUGGCUGGCCAUGUUCAGGUUCUCUUUUCUGCCUGUGCAUUGUUCAAGAGCACAGAUGUGGCACGGCGUGGCAAGCAUGUGCGGAGGUGGGAGCAUUGCUGGGCCAUGGAUGCCCCCAGGCUCCCAGUGGCAGCAGAAAGGCAAGUGGGGCUGCUUGCCAUCUCUCAGCAGUUGCUCAUUCCAGUGGAUUAAGGCUGAUUAUUCCCUGUUUUGGCUUGUGGAGUUACUUGUCUGUCCUCCCAAGCAUGGGUAUUUACAACAAGCCAAGUAUGAGUUUGAAGAAAGAGGACAGCAGGGGCACUUCUCCUAGUGCAGGGAACUGCCUGAGUCAGUUUAUUACUAAUCAGCAGUUAGUGUCAGUUACCCACUGAUGAGAGCACGUGAAGUACCCCCUGUGGACUUGCUGCUUGCAACAGCUUGCCCUUUCCAUAGGAUGAGACUCAGCAAGAUGUUUGACCUAAGGCAGGUGAGUAAUCAUGUGUGUCUGUAGGCUGGGAUGAAUGAUGAAAGCACGUGCUGGAAUGGUUUUCUGAAUCAGAGCUAUGGCUACAUUUGAGACCCUCUUUAAAAUUCACCUCUGUCUGUGUUCAGCUGCACGGCUGAUACAAAGUGGUCUGUUUUUCAGUACAUUCAUUAAAACCAAUGCUUCUGUCCUGCCACUAGAAAAGUAAGACACAAUACACACUCAUCUCUUCUUUUUUUUUUUUUUUUUUUAAAGCCACUUUAGAUCCCUGAAUGUGCAAACACCAGCACCUCAUUGCCAUCAAAACCCGAUUAACAUAACUGAUGAGUGACGGGAAAUCAAAAUAAAGUCAGAUCUAACAGCCCCAGCGUCAGGAAUGUAAAUUAUACAGUUGAAUAUUUUUCUGUAAGAUGACUCGGUUUGUUCUCUUUCCAUUGUAAUCAAAAGUGAAUUACGAUCUUGAAAGGUUCUAUCUCUCCCAGAUAACUGAAAAAGCUAAUUAAAAACAAAAGGCACAGAUGUAAUCAUUGCUUAAUGCUGUAAGCAUAACAUGACCUAAUGCUAUUAUGAGUUCUGAACAAAUUUCAAUUAGAACUCCAGCUGGUAAACAGAUAAAUGUGAUAAGAGCAUUUCAGUAUUACAUAAUCACUUGUUAGUAAAAGUAAUUUUUAUUGCAGCCAUUCAUAAGUAUCGAAAAUGGUUUUAAGAUUUAGGUAUGUUUUUCAGUACAAUUAGAUGACAAUAAGCAUUUAAAUUGCUUACAUUUGAGAAGAUCAUAGAAUCACAGAACCAUUUAAGUUAGAAAAGACUUUUGAGAUCAUCAAACCCAACCAUUAACCCAGGACUGCCAAGUCCAUCACUAAACCGUGUCCCUAAGCACUGCAUCUACGUGUUUUUUUAAAUACCUCCAGGGAUGGUGACUCUACCACCUCCCUGAGCAGCCUGUUCCAGUGCUUCAACAUCCUUUCAGAGAAAAAAGUUUUUUCCUAAUAUCCAAUCUAAACCUCCCCUGGAGCAACUUGUGGCUGUUUCCUCUUGUCCUGUCGCUUGUUAUCUGGGAGAAGAGACCGACCCCCACCAGCCUACAGGCCCCUGUCAGGGAGUUGUAGAGAGCGAUAAGGUCCCCCCUGAGUCUCCUCCAGGCUAAGCAGUUCCAGUUCCCUCAACUCCUCAUCAGACUCCAGUACCUCGACUUCCCUCUUGCAGUGAGGGACCCAAAACUGAACCCAGCAAUCAAGGUGCAGCCUCACCAGUGCCAAGAUUGCUCACUGCCCUGGUCCUGCUGACCACCCUGUUUCAGAUACAAGCCAGGAUGCUACUGGCCUUCUUGCCCACCUGGGCACACAGCUGGCUCAUGUUCAGCCAGCUGCUGACCAACACCUUCAGGUACUUUUCCCCCAGGCAGGUUCCCAGCCACUCUGCCCCCAGCCUGUAGCGCUGUGUGGGGUUGUUGUGACCCAAGUGCAGGACCUGGCAGUUCUGCUUGUUGAACCUCACACAAUUGGCCUUGGCCCAUCAGUCCAGCUUGUCCAGAUCCCUCUGUGGAGCCUUCCUGUCCUCCAGCAGACCAACACUCGCCAGCAACUUGUUGUUGUCUGCAAACUUCCUGAGGGUGUGCUCAAUCCCCUCGCCCAGGUCAUUGAUAAAGAUAUUAAACAGGACUAGCCCCCCCUGGGGAACACCACUUGUGAUCGGUCACCCACCUGAUGUAACUCCAUUCACCAUCACCCUUUGGACUCAGACAUUCAGCCAAAGAUCCUCCUCAGGGGUGUGUUUUAUUUUUUUAAGUUAACAAAUUUAUUUUGUUUUACAUUCACCAUCACUUUGCAGCUUGCUAGUGAUUCACACCAUUACCAGAUUAGAAAAUUAAUUCAAACAUGUACUUCAUACUCUGCACUGGGAGGAAUCACUUCUAGGUUACACUGGUCUUUUGUUACUCAAAGUACUUUGUUAUUUCUUGCCUCAUUGAGCUUUAGGGAAUGUGGAAAGUCAUGGCCCAUGACGGAGACUCAAGGGUAUUUCAGAACAUGUAGAAAAGCUGGGGGUACAAAACCACAAGCUCUUUGCAACAGGGUAUGUAUCGGUGUGGUUCUGAGAAGACGAUAACCACGAGUCUGACGGGGUCCUUGUGGUAAGUAAGGGUGGUCCAUAGCCAGGAUGCUAGCUUGGCUUUGGAAAGCCAGGACCAGUUCUCUGCUCUGCCAAAUUCACAGUGAGAAGUGAAUAAAAACCUCCACUUAUUUAUGCCUCAGUUUCCCUGGGGAAAAAAAAGUACCAGGAUAGUGACUUGAGGUGUCUCUCCUGGCAAUCAGGAGUGCAGAGGGAAACCACAGCCAAACUCCUGCCUUUUUCUUGAGAAUAAAAGGUGGAAAGCAGUGGCUCUGCAAGGAUGCUCUCUCCUGCCAGGCCGGCAUCACACUUCUCUGCUGCAACCAGUGCUCAGACCCAGCAUUUCAUUUUAAGACAGGUGUGGAGUAGCUGCCUGCUAGGAUGGUGACAAUUUAUACACCUAAUCAGCAUACAAUUCCUCUCUCUCUUGA